rnacentral:rRNA from 1 species
UACAGAGGUCUCAAGCGUUGUUCGGAUUCAUUGGGCGUAAAGGGUGCGUAGGCGGCGCGGUAAGUCGGGUGUGAAAUCUCGGAGCUUAACUCCGAAACUGCAUUCGAUACUGCCGUGCUUGAGGACUGGAGAGGAGACUGGAAUUUACGGUGUAGCGGUGAAAUGCGUAGAUAUCGUAAGGAAGACCAGUGGCGAAGGCGGGUCUCUGGACAGUUCCUGACGCUGAGGCACGAAGGCUAGGGGAGCGAAUGGG